rnacentral:lncRNA from 1 species
GGUCUUUGAGCAUAAACUUUGAAGAUGGAGUGAGGUUGAGCCAAGUCAUAGCCAGAUCAUUAUCAACUUGUACUUGUAUUCAUGGUAAUGUGGUCGAUUGAAGAAAAUGAUGAACUGAACUUUUUAAAUAGGUACCUAUAACCUAUCCAAAGAGAAGAACGUGCUGUCAAGCUGGAUUUCUCAAUGUAAGCAGUCUGUUCCAAGCACUGUUCUACUGAAAAUGUUCAUCCAACCAGCCAACCAGUUCAUCCAACCAGCAGCCUAUCCACUGAUGCUGUGGCUGAUGGCGGAGGCAAAGCACCAACUGUCCUUGUUGCCUGGUGUGUGCACAAGUAGAUGAGUGCCGUUCAUCGCCGCCGUCUUCCUGGACCUUCGCUCAUCGCCGUCGUCUGUCGGGGCCUGCAAUUCGGUCGUCGCCGUCUGCCGAGGCCAGCCAGCUCCAGAUUGAUUCCUGCCUAUCGCCGCCGUUUGCGGGGACCUGCAAUGUCGCUGCCGUCGUCAGCCAGAGAAGCUGGUCACAGUCAUCGAAGAGCAGUGAUCUCCGCCGUUCGAAGAGCUGUGUAAUAUAUAUCAUGUGUUGUCGCCUGUCAGUCCCCAGAGGAGUUCUCAUGUGCCGUCCGUCGACUGGCGUGUCCCAUGAUAUGACAUCUGAGGGUCACCCACCGGCCACCGUUUACCGGCGACUCUGAGGGCCAUCAGCCCCGAGUCCCUAGAUAUCCUCAGCUCGCACCCGGCAGCAGUCUCUGUCGCAUCUGGAGUGUAGUCUAUUCUAAUAUGCUCAGAUGCAUUGCGCUGCUUCUUGUGUAAAUCUGCUGGGAAACUUGGAAAGUGCUAACAACGAUAUAUGUGCGAAGUGGAAGCUGUGUAAAGUCGUCUGCAUAUUAAUUUCAACGGUGGUUAAUGCGAAGUGAUAUUGGUCGAAA